UACGUAGGGACCAAGCGUUGUUCGGAUUUACUGGGCGUAAAGGGCGCGUAGGCGGCGCGGUAAGUCACUUGUGAAAUCUCUGAGCUUAACUCAGAACGGCCAAGUGAUACUGCAGUGCUAGAGUGUGGAAGGGGCAAUCGGGAUUCUUGGUGUAGCGGUGAAAUGCGUAGAUAUCAAGAGGAACACCUGAGGUGAAGACGGGUUGCUGGGCCAACACUGACGCUGAGGCGCGAAAGCCAGGGGAGCAAACGGG
rnacentral:rRNA from 1 species